rnacentral:lncRNA from 1 species
GUAUUUUUUUUGUAGUGAUGUGAUCGGAGAUCCCGUGAAGUAGAACUGGGAGACAAGCUGUUGGUCAGCUGGGAGGAGAGUAUCCCUAUAUUAACUAUCCCACUCCGUGAAGAUGCAAUACUCUCCUGAUCUGCAUGGCUGGUUGAUACUUAUCUUAAUGUGUUCCAAGUGGCUUAUUCGGGUAAGCAGAGAUGUUGUCCUGCAGAAGAUCUUCUGAGGAACACACCUAUAUGAAUUUGACUGUUAACGUUGCAGUCUGUGAGAAUUGGGUGUUCUCUAAUAAAUUCAUGAAAAGGCCCUGGAGUACGACGUAUAUGCUCCACCCGCGGGGAAGCCUUGCGGCAACCCAGUAUCGGUCAAGAAUUUGUGUGAAACUAGUCUCGCAGAAAACUUGUAGUUCAAGGCAUAGUCCACUAUUCAAGUUGUGAUCUAGUGUAGCAUAAAUCUCUAAGUGGAAGUUCAACUUCACAGUCUCCACUAAGCACCGGUAUAUAAACAAUGUUUUGGAACCAAAUGGUGAGAUGUGCCAAUGAGACUUUGUGGGGGAUUGUUGGAAUUUGCUAGUGGGCUUUUGGCCCAAAGCCCAACUAAAAUUCUGAAAUUCUCUUGGCCCAUUCAUGCACACAUGUGAGUGGAGUGAGUGAGGCUAAAGUUUAGUCCCACCUCAUAAGUUGAGAGAGAGUUGCACCUCUUUAUAAGGUGAGCUCUUCUACCACUUGUAUGAGCAUGAGAAGAGGAGACCUACACGCGCGCUCCUCCUCCUCGCUCGCCUCGCCACGCCUCGUCACGACGCGCUGCGGGUUGCGGGAUUCAGCCGAGCCGAGGACAGAGCUAUGCGCGUUGUCUAUAUUUUUGCUGCUUGGGAAAAUUAAUGAGUCAUUAAUUAAUAAUUAACGGAUGCAUUAAUUACUAAACCAUUUCCGAUUCUUUUGGAUCGUGAUGACUCGGACAUGGGGUUUACUCCCACGACCUACCCGGCCCGCAUUAUAUAGUCAGGCAGACGUCUACCCUAGCCGCGGCCGCUUCGUAUGGUUUCUGAUACGUCUCCAACGUAUCUACUUUUCCAAACACUUUUGCCCUUGUUUUGGACUCUAACUUGCAUGAUUUGAAUGGAACUAACCUGGACUGACGCUGUUUUCAGCAGAAUUGCCAUGGUGUUAUUUUUGUGCAGAAACAAAAGUUCUCGGAAUGACCUGAAACUUCACAGAGAUUAUUUUUGGCAACAAUAAAAAAUACUGGCGAAAGAAUCAAGGCCAGUGGGCCCACACCCUAUCCACGAGGGUGGGAGGCAUGCCUGCCCCCUGGGCGCGCCCCCUGCCUCGUGGGCCCCCUGGAGCUCCACCGACCUCAACUCCAACUCUAUAUAUUCACGUUCGGGGAGAAAAAAAAUCAGAGAGAAGGAUUCAUUGCGUUUUACGAUACGGAGCCGCCGCCAGGCCCUAAUCUCUCUCUCGAGGGCUGAUCUGGAGUCCGUUCGGGGCUCCGGAGAGGGGAAUCCGUCGCCAUCGUCAUCAUCAACCAUCCUCCAUCACCAAUUUCAUGAUGCUCACCGCCGUGCGUGAGUAAUUCCGUCGUAGGCUUGCUGGACGGUGAUGGGUUGGAUGAGAUUUAUCAUGUAAUCGAGUUAGUUUUGUUAGGGUUUGAUCCCUAGUAUCCACUGUGUUCUGAGAUUGAUGUUGCUAUGACUUUGCUAUGCUUAAUGCUUGUCACUAGGGCCCGAGUGCCAUGAUUUCAGAUCUGGACCUAUUAUGUUUUCAUGAAUAUAUGUGAGUUCUUGAUCCUAUAUUGCAAGUCUGUAGUCACCUACUAUGUGUUAUGAUCCGGCAACCCCGAAGUGACAAUAAUCGGGACCACUCCCGGUGAUGAGUGUAGUUUGAGGAGUUCAUGUAUUCACUAUGUGUUAAUGCUUUGGUCCGGUACUCUAUUAAAAGGAGGCCUUAAUAUCCCUUAGUUUCCAUUAGGACCCCGCUGCCACGGGAGGGUAGGACAAAAUAUGUCAUGCAAGUUCUUUCCAUAAGCACGUAUGACUAUAUUCGGAAUACAUGCCUACAUUACAUUGAUGAAUUGGAGCUAGUUCUGUGUCACCCUAUAUUAUAAUUGUUGCAUGAAUAAUCGCAUCCGGAAUAAUUCUCCAUCACCGAUCCAAUGCCUACUGAUACGUCUCCAUCGUAUCUACUUUUCCAAACACUUUUGCCCUUGUUUUGGACUCUAACUUGCAUGAUUUGAAUGAAACUAACCCGGACUGACGCUGUUUCCAGCAGACUUUCUAUGGUGUUAUUUAUGUGCAGAAACAAAAAUUCUCGGAAUGACCUGAAACUCCACAGAACAUAUUUUUGGAAAAUAUUAAAAAUACUGGAAGAAGAAUCCACGUCAGGGGGCCCACACCCUGUCCACGAGGGUGGAGGCGCGCCUGCCCCCCUGGGAGCGCCCCCCUGCCUCGUGGGCCGCCUGACGCUCCACCGACCUCAACUCCAACUCCAUAUAUUCACUUUCGGGGAGAAAAAUCAGAGAGAAGGAUUCAUCGCGUUUUAUGAUACGGAGCUGCCGCCAAGCCCUAAAACCUCUCGGGAGGGCUGAUCUGGAGUCCGUUCGGGGCUCCAGAGAGGGGAAUCCGUCGCCGUCGUCAUCAUCAACCAUCCUCCAUCACCAAUUUCAUGAUGCUCACCGCCGUGCAUGAGUAAUUCCAUCGUAGGCUUGUUGGACGGUGAUGGGUUGGAUGAGAUCUAUCAUGUAAUCGAGUUAGUUUUGUUAGGGUUUGAUCCCUAGUAUCCACUAUGUUCUGAGAUUGAUGUUGCUAUGACUUUGCUAUGCUUAAUGCUUGUCACUAGGGCCCGAGUGCCAUGAUUUCAGAUCUGAACCUAUUAUGUUUUCAUGAAUAUAUGUGAGUUCUUGAUCCUAUCUUGCAAGUCUAUAGUCACCUACUAUGUGUUAUGAUCCGGCAACCCCGAAGUGACAAUAAUCGGGACCACUCCCGGUGAUGACCAUAGUUUGAGGAGUUCAUGUAUUCACUAUGUGUUAAUGCUUUGGUCCGGUACUCUAUUAAAAGGAGGCCUUAAUAUCCCUUAGUUUCCGCUAGGACCCCGCUGCCACGGGAGGGCAGGACAAAAGAUGUCAUGCAAGUUCUUUUCCAUAAGCACGUAUGACUAUAUUCGGAAUACAUGCCUACAUUACAUUGAUGAAUUGGAGCUAGUUCUGUGUCACCCUAUGUUAUGAUUGUUACAUGAUGAACCGCAUCCGGCAUAAUUCUCCAUCACCGAUCCAAUGCCUACGAGCUUUUCACAUAUUGUUCUUCGCUUAUUUACUUUUCCGUUGCUAUUGUUACAAUCACUACAAAACCCAAAAAUUAUUUUUGCUACCGUUACCGUUACUUCCAUAUUACUUUGCUACUAAAUACUUUGCUGCAGAUACUAAGUUAUCCAGGUGUGGUUGAAUUGACAACUCAACUGCUAAUACUUGAUAAUAUUCUUUGGCUCCCCUUGUGUCGAAUCAAUAAAUUUGGGUUGAAUACUCUGCCCUCGAAAACUGUUGCGAUCCCCUAUACUUGUGGGUUAUCGCCUACGAGCUUUUCACAUAUUGUUCUUCGCUUAUUUACUUUUCCUUUGCCACUAUUACAAUAAUUACAAAACCCAAAAAUAUUACUUUUGCUACCGUUAUCACUACUAUCAUACUACUUUGCUACUAAAUAUUUUGCUGCAGAUAUUAAGUUAUCCAGGUGUGGUUGAAUUGACAACUCAACUGCUAAUACUUGAGAAUAUUCUUUGGCUCCCCUUGUGUCGAAUCAAUAAAUUUGGGUUGAAUACUCUGCCCUCGAAAACUGUUGUGAUCCCCUAUACUUGUGGGUUAUCAGUUUCUCACCACCGUUCCAGAUCAUUGCGCCGCCAAGCAAGUCUUCUCCAUCCCUCCUUUCGGCGUGCACCGGGAGAAGGGACAACAGGCCUCCGGAACCCCGCCUCUCGUGAUCCUGUAUGGGAGAAGGGAGAUCAGGUUUUUGGGGAGCACACUCACACGACUACUGGCAGCGACGACUUCACGAACGGCGACUUCUUCCCUGACCUCGGCAACCUCAUCCUCGACGACAUGGGAGACAAUGUCAACGCCGGCGGUGCUGCUCCCGCUGCAUCGUAUGUGAUUCUAUCCUUCCUGUUCGAGAUCAUGGUAGAAUUCAUGUUUCUAGUAUGUGCCCUAGAUGUGACCUGUUCAUCUGCUAUGCUAGUUUGCGUGAUUAGUUCAAUCUCUGCUACUUUAGUCAUGAUUUAUCUUCUGUUUAUUCGGAUUAAAUCUCGUAGUAAUUUGCUCAUAUUUCCAACACUGGCAGCCAUGACAACUGCAUUACCAUCAUCAACCGAGCAGAUGACCUCGAGGACUACACGGGUCCGCAAGAGAGUUCGCACUCUUUCAUGUCUGUUUACGUUAUGCAUCGCUUAAUAUUACAUGCUACUUUAUCAUCCUGUUCAUCGAUUAGACUCUGAGUCAGCUCCAAACUAAUGGUCCAACUUGAGUUUUUAAAUGGUUGUGGGGUACAUAUCGGGGCCGCAAUCAAUAGUAUCUAUCUACUAUCUGGUUAAUAUCUGGUGUCUACUAUGAGUUUCAUGUUGGGUGGGAAACAAACAAUAAAGAAGCCAUUAUCUGUAUUUUCUAACUAAUGCCAUUAUCUGCUUGCUAUCAUUGGUCUUGGGUCUAUCCACAGGUUGCUACCAUCACUCUGGAUUUCUGCAUGCACUCCUUACAUAAUCUCACUAUGUUUUAUUCCUAUGCAUGUCAGUUAUUGUACACAAUGGAACUGAACAUGUAGAGCAAAAGAGAUGAGCCUUGCGUGGCAAUAAAAUUUCAUGCAGACGUCGCUCCAUGGUAGGCGCAAAGACAGCCCCCCUCCACCCAUUUCGGAUUGUAAUCGAGAGGAAGAUAUCUGUUCUUUGGGGGAUUCAGAAGGAGAAGACCACUCGUAUUUACCCCCUGAGGUCUUCGCUCUAACUUGACAUGCUGAUGUUGGUUAUAUCAUGCAUAUGGUGCCUUGCAUUGCUUACUUUAUACAUCAAAUAUGUCAUCUGCUUAGCUUAGACAUGCUUUGUGUGAAUGCCAUCCGUUUAGUUUAUUCAUCGUUUAUGUGAAUUAUACAAUGCCAUCUUGUUUAGCCAGGCAUCAUAUAUGUGAAGUUUGCAAUGCCAUCCUGCUUAUCCAGUCAUCUUAUAUGUGAAUUAUAUCAGGCCAUCCUUUUUUCCGUUACGUGUUACAUUUGUAAACAGUGUUAGUACAUUCAACUACUCUUUGUGUGCAUCAGCCAUUUGACACGGUGAUGGAAAAUUCUGGAGUGAAAACAAGGUCUUCAGAGCAGACUAUGCUAUCUGACGAAGCGCAUAUCUCGCUGGUUACGGAUAGCUCCUCAGAGGAGGAUUCAGGGACAGAUGACCAGUCCUAUUCCCCCCCCCCCCCCAAGGUGUAUGCUCUAACUUGGCAGGGUUAUGUUGCUCAUAUCAUGCGUAUGGUGUCUUGCAUUGCUAUGUCAUUUGAUUAGUUUAGACAUGCUUUGUGUGAAUGCCAACUGUUUAGUGUCUAAUUACCAUAUAUGUGAAUUAUGCAUUGCCAUCUUGUUGCAAGACAUUAUAUAUGUGAAUUAUGCAAUGCUAUAUUGUUGCAAAGGCAUUAUAUAUGUGAAUUAUCCAAUGCCAUGCUGCUUAGCCGAUCAUCAUGUAUGUGAAUUAUAUCAUGCUAUCUUUUUUUGUAUUACAUGUUCCAUUUGUCGACAACAUUUGUAUAUUCAACUACUCUUCCUGUGCAUCAUCCAUUUGAAGCGGUGAUGGAAGUAUCUGGAGUGAAAACAAGGUAUUCAGAGCAGACAAUGCUACCUGCUGAAGCAGACAUCUUGCUGGUUACAGAGAGCUCCUCAGAGGAGGAUUCAGAGACUGAUGACCAGUCCUAUUUCCCCCCUGAGGUCUAUGCUCAAACUUCGCAGGGUUAUAUUACCCAUGUCAUGCAUGUUGUCUUGCAUUGCUUAAUUUUUACAUCAAAUAUGGAUUGCCAUCUGCUUACUUGCUUACUAUAUAAAUCAUAUAUUUGAAUUAUAUCAUGCCAUCAUGUUUACAUACAUAGCAUCUAUCUGAAUUAUGGCAUGGCAACCCAUUUAAUAAAGACAUCAUAUAGUUAUAUCAUCUCAUCUUGUUUAGUGUUUACAGUCAUCAUAUUUUGAAUUAUGUCGUUCUAUCCAUGAAUUAUAUCAUGCUAUCAUGCUUCCAUAGGCGGCAUGUAUGUGAAAUAUGGCAUGCCAACCUAUUUAAUAAACACAUUAUAUAGUCAUAUCUUGUCAUCCUGUUUACGUAGUCAUCAUAUUUUGAACUAUGUCUUUCCAUCUUUUUUAGUUAGCCAUCAUAAUUUGAAAUUGUGUCAUGCUAUCCUGUUUAGUUAGCCAUCAUAUAUGUGAAAUUGUGUCAUGCUAUCCUGUUUGGUUGGACAACAUAAAUGUGAAUUAUUUCAUGCCCUCUUUUAUUCCCCACUAUCCAUUGCACCUGUCUUAUCAUACAAUGUAUGUACAUUCAAUUACUUUUCUUGUUUAUCAGCCAUUUGAAUUGGAGAAGGUGAUGGCAGUAUCUAAGGGAGUAAUAACACGGUCUUCAGAAAAGAUAGUGCUACCAAUUGAUGCAGAUAGAACCAUGGUUGUACUUGCCCAAGAACCAGCCCCACCACACAUAACCCAGACUCUCGCAGAUUGUACCCCUACCCAGUUGGACAGAGAACCAGCUACACCCCUUCUAACCCCAACCCCAGCAGAUAGUAACCCAGUUCCAGUUGACACAGCACCGUCUCCACCACAGAGCACCAAAACACGAUCAGUUAGUAAGGGAACUGCAGUGCCCAAAGCACGAGGACCACCACUCCGAAUCCCAACUCAACACUUAAAGGAGAAGAAGAAUUGUUCUCAGGUCAGGUUCUGUAGCUAUGGUUCAUACUCCUUUGCUCUUGCAUCACUGUAUUUACUCAUACCAACUAUUUUCAAAUUUGAAGGAUGGAAUUGAAACUCCAAUCGCGCAACAGGUAUGUUUUAAACCUAUUUCUUUAACUAGUUUGCUAUUGUAACUUGCUCUAUGUUGAUUUCAGUUUCAAUUGAAUAAACAAAUAUGUUCUCAUGUCAUGCACAUUACAAGUGUUGUUAUUGCUCUAUAGUUUCCCACACUUAUAUUCUGUCUAUUCUGCUUUGUCUUGAACAAAUAUUAUUUGAACUGUGUCUCUCUUGAUUUGGUAACAAAAACUAGAAUGAUAUAGACCAUAAAGUGACCAUGGUACAUAGAUAUAUGUUUGUUUCAUGCUGUUAUCCUGUCCACUUUACUACUGAACUGAUUUACCAAAAUGAGUUUCAUAUACAACAUGGUAAACCUGUGAUGUGUCUGCUUGUUUCCCUUUUAGAAUGCGGACAAAUAUUGGAGAACAGUACCCCGUUAUGCAAUGGUAAAGGAAGUAAUGCAGAUAAGGUUCAAGAUAGUGAGACAUCCCUGUUGGUCUCCAAGAAAGCUGAUAAAAACUAUCUUGACGACAGUGAGAGAACCCAAAAGUCCUGUCUUGAUGUAGUGUUCGAGUUACUGGCCACUACUGCUGGCACAAGCUCUUCGAACUCGCUGCCUGAAUCAGUUCGUCUUCUUGAGUCUCAACUUCAAGUUGAAAGACAUCGAUCAGAUGUGCUGCGACAGGAAGCUGAAGGACUGAGGAAGUCCCUGUAGAAUUUAGAUGCAUACUUUCUGGUGCAACAGCAAGCGCUGGAGGAUUUAAGCGUCAAACAAGAGAAAGUUAAUAAGCUUGCUAAGCAUCUUGCCAGCAUUAUGGGUACCCAGGAUAUUGUUUCUUGAGAUCUUCUGAAGUGGUUUCAGUUCUGGACUUGUUUUACUACGGCGUUUAUUUGCACUAGUCGCCAACUUUCACAACUACUGUAUAUGAUAUGCUGCUAUAUUUGCACUGGUGGCAAACUUUGAUGCCCAGUGGAUGUAAUAUGUGUAAUAGCCGUGAUAGCCUAGCGUAAGUUGCUUGCUUAUUUAUUUCCUUGUUGUCUUGCUUAUUUGUUUGCUUGUAGUCAAUGCAGUUCUUUUUCCGCGGUUUGGCCGCAAUAACCUAUUUUUUAAAAUUAGGCCACAAUAACCAUGGGCUACAUAUUUACUGUAGUUACCAUGGGCCUCCUACGGGCCGUAGAAACAAUGGGCCUUGCAAGGGCCGUAGAAACAAUGGACCUUCUACGGGCCAUAGCAUCAAUGCGCCUUCUACGGGCCAUAGCAUCAAUGGGCCUUCUACGGGCCGUAUGAUCGAUCGGCCAAACAUGGGCCAAUAACAGACUGCAUUAUGGGCCGUAAACAGGCUAGAUUUGGAAUCGUCCGUUCAUGGUCGGGCCGUCGUUAAUCGGCCGUAUUUGAUGACGCUAUGAAAACGGCCCAACGGAUUAACGGGCCGAUUGUUACCACGGGCUGAAUUUGGCCCACAAGCAAAAAAGGCCAGUAACGGGCCGUAAGUAACCGAAUGCUAGAAAUAAGCCCAAGAAUAAAUGGGCCCUGAGAAUGACGAAAGAUAACAUGGGUUGGAAACGGCCCAAUGAAAUAAUGGGCCGUUAGUGGGUAUGAAGCGAUACACUGUUCAUUACGGGCCAGAUUCACUACGGGCCGUUAAUGGGCCAAGAGUUACAAAUGGCCUUGUAUGGGCUGAAAGACAUCAUGGGCCAUACAUGGGCCGGAAGUUACAAUGGGCUGGAAUCAUAUUGGAUGGCCCAGAUGAAGCUACUAGGCUUAAUUCCGAUAGGCCGUAACGGGUCAUGAGUUAGCGGACCGUAAAUGGGCUAUAUAGGAACAGGCUUUCCAUGGGCCGGCCCGUUACCUUUUAACCAAGUCAAACGGUCCGGCCUUUUCAUCGGAAUGGGCCUUUGUUGGGCCGUGCCAUGUGUCGCCCAAUCAUAGGCGCCUCUUGUCCAAUGAAUGGAUGACAUCUGUCCCAACGGUGAGCGAACACGUGUUUCCUCCGGCCAAUGACAAUUUUACACGUGGAAAAUCCUCAUUGGUCCGGGCUAUUAACGGGUUAUCAGAUCCAAAACUAGACACGAUAGCUUAACGGCGACCCAUUACGGUGGAUGCCACGUGUCGGUCACCCUUGACGAAAGCACUUCCAUGACGCGGCAUUUAUCGUCAUGGAAGUGAACACUUCUGUGAUGAUAAUUUUGGUAAUGUCAUGGAACACUUCUACGACAGCACAGGUAUGACUAUCUUGAUUCUGUCAUAAAAUCAUCAAGGAUGUACAUGCAUGACAGAAAACGUGACCUACUGUGACAAACACGUAUCAUCACGGAAGUGUAUUUUUUUGUAGUGUUAGUAACGCGGUUGAUGUAGUCGAACGUCUUCGCGAUCCAACCGAUCAAGUACCAAACGCACGGCACCUCCGUGAUCUGCACACGUUUAGCUCGGUGACGUCCCUCGAACUCUAGAUCUAGCUGAGGCCGAGGGAGAGUUUCGUUAGCACGACGGCGUGGUGACCGUGAUGAUGAAGUUACCGACGCAGGGCUUCGCCUAAGCACUACGACAAUAUGACCGAGGUGGAAAAUUGUGGAGGGGGGCACCGCACACGGCUAAGAGAUCAACUUGUGUGUCUAUGGGGUGCCCCCCUCCCCCGUAUAUAAAGGAGGGGAGGAGGGGGCCGGCCGGCCACAAGGGGCACUCCCGGGGGGAAUCCUACUCCUAUUAGGAGUAGGUUCCUCCCUUUCCUAGUCCAACAAGGAGGGGAAGGAAGGAGGAAGGGGAGAGAAGGAAGGAGGGGGGCGCCGCCCCCACCCCUUGUCCAAUUCAGACUGGGGGGCGUGCACCACCACCUGGCCGGCCCUCUCUCCUCUAAGGCCCAUGGUGGCCCACUAACUUCCGGGGGGUCCGGUAACCCUCCGGCACUCCGGUUUUAUCCAAAACUAUCCUGAACACUUCCGGUGUCCGAAUAACAUGGUCCAAUAUAUCAAUCUUUAUGUCUCGACCAUUUCGAGAAUCCUUGUCAUGUCCGUGAUCACAUCUGGGACUCCGAACAACCUUUGGUACAUCAAAUCACAUAAACUCAUAAUAUGAAUCGUCAUCGAACGUCAAGCGUGCGGACCCUACGGGUUCGAGAACUAUGUAGACAUGACCGAGACACAUCUCCGGUCAAUAACCAAUAGCGGAACCUGGAUGCUCACAUUGGCUCCUACAUAUUCUACGAAGAUCUUUAUCAGUCAAACCGCAUAACAACAUACGUUGUUCCCUUUGUCAUCGGUAUGUUACUUGCCCGAGAUUCGAUCGUCGGUAUCAUCAUACCUAGUUCAAUCUCGUUACCAGAAAGUCUCUUUACUCGUUCCGUCGUGCAUCAUCCUGCAACUAGCUCAUUAGUCACAUUGCUUGCAAGGCUUAUAGUGAUGUGCAUUACCGAGUGGGCCCAGAGAUACCUCUCUGACAAUCGGAGUGACAAAUCCUAAUCUUGAUCUAUGCCAACUCAACAAACACCAUCGGAGACACCUGUAGAGCAUCUUUAUAAUCACCCAGUUACGUUGUGACGUUUGAUAGCACACUAAGUGUUCCUCCGGUAUUCGGGAGUUGCAUAAUCUCAUAGUCAUAGGAACGUGUAUAAGUCAUGAAGAAAGCAAUAGCAGUAAACUAAACAAUCAUAGAGCUAAGCUAACGGAUGGGUCUUGUCCAUCACAUCAUUCUCUAAUGAUGUGAUCCCGUUCAUCAAAUGACAACUCAUGUCUAUGGCUAGGAAACUUAACCAUCUUUGAUUAACGAGCUAGUCUAGUAGAGGUAUACUAGGGACACUCUGUUUGUCUAUGUAUUCACACAUGUACUAAGUUUCCGGUUAAUACAAUUCUAGCAUGAAUAAUAAACAUCUAUCAUGAUAUAAGGAAAUAUAAAUAACAACUUUAUUAUUGCCUCUAGGGCAUAUUUCCUUCAAUAUAUUGGGCAUCAAGAUCUAUAGAGAUAGAUCAAGACGCUUGAUUGGACUUUCACAAAGCAAAUACCUUGAUAAAGUUUUGAAGAAGUUCAAAAUGGAUCAAGCAAAGAAAGGGUUCUUGCAUGUGUUACAAGGUGUGAAGUUGAGUAAGACUCAAUGCCCGACCACUGCAGAAGAUAGAGAGAAAAUGAAAGUCAUUCCCUAUGCUUCAGCCAUAGGUUCUAUCAUGUAUGCAAUGCUGUGUACCAGACCUGAUGUGUGCCUUGCUAUUAGUUUAGCAGGGAGGUACCAAAGUAAUCCAGGAGUGGAUCACUGGACAGCGGUCAAGAACAUCCUGAAAUACUUGAAAAGGACUAAGGAUAUGUUUCUCAUUUAUGGAGGUGACAAAGAGCUCGUAGUAAACGGUUACGUCGAUGCAAGCUUUGACACUGAUCCGGAUGACUCUAAGUCACAAACUGGAUACGUAUUUAUAUUGAAUGGAGGAGCUGUAAGUUGGUGCAGUUCCAAGCAGAGCGUCGUGGCGGGAUCUACGUGUGAAGCGGGGUACAUAGCUGCUUCGGAAGCAGCAAAUGAAGGAGUCUGGAUGAAGGAGUUCAUAUCCGAUCUAGGUGUCAUACCUAGUGCAUCGGGUCUAAUGAAAAUCUUUUGUGACAAUACGGGUGCAAUUGCCUUGGCAAAGGAAUCCAGAUUUCACAAGAGAACCAAGCACAUCAAGAGACGCUUCAAUUCCAUCCGCGAUCAAGUCAAGGAGGGAGACAUAGAGAUAUGCAAGAUACAUACGGAUCUGAAUGUUGCAGACCCUUUGACUAAGCCUCUCUCACGAGCAAAACAUGAUCAGCACCAAGACUCCAUGGGUGUUAGAAUCAUUACUAUGUAAUCUAGAUUAUUGACUCUAGUGCAAGUGGGAGGCUGAAGGAAAUAUGCCCUAGAGGCAAUAAUAAAGUUGUUAUUUAUAUUUCCUUAUAUCAUGAUAGAUGUUUAUUAUUCAUGCUAGAAUUGAAUUAACCGGAAACUUAGUACAUGUGUGAAUACAUAGACAAACAGAGUGUCCCUAGUAUGCCUCUACUAGACUAGCUCGUUAAUCAAAGAUGGUUAAUUUUCCUAGCCAUAGACAUGAGUUGUCAUUUGAUGAACGGGAUCACAUCAUUAGAGAAUGAUGUGAUGGACAAGACCCAUCCGUUAGCUUAGAUCUAUGAUCGUUUAGUUUAUCGCUAUUGCUUUCUUCAUGACUUAUACAUGUUCCUAUGACUAUGAGAUUAUGCAACUCCCGAAUACCGGAGGAACACUUAGUGUGCUAUUAAACGUCACAACGUAACUGGGUAAUUAUAAAGAUGCUCUACAGGUGUCUCCGAUGGUGUUUGUUGAGUUCGCAUAGAUCGAGAUUAGGAUUUGUCACUCCGAUUGUCGGAGAGGUAUCUCUGGGCCCUCUCGGUAAUGCACAUCACUAUAAGCCUUGCAAGCAAUGUGACUAAUGAGUUAGUUCUGGGAUGAUGCACUACGGAACGAGUAAAGAGACUUGCCAGUAACGAGAUUGAACUAGGUAUGAUGAUACCGACGAUCGAAUCUCGGGCAAGUAACUUACCGAUGACAAAGGGAACAACGUAUGUUGUUAUGCGGUUUGACCGGUAAAGAUCUUCGUAGAAUAUGUAGGAGCCAAUAUGAGCAUCCAGGUUCCGCUAUUGGUUAUUGACCGGAGAUGUGUCUCGGUCAUGUCUGCAUAGUUCUCGAACACGUAGGGUCUGCACGCUUAUCGUUCGAUGACGAUUCGUAUUAUGAGUUUAUGUGAUUUGAUGUACCGAAGGUUGUUUGGAGUCCCGGAUGUGAUCACGAACAUGACGAGGAGUCUUGAAAUGGUCGAGACAUAAAGAUUGAUAUAUUGGACCAUGUUAUUCGGACACCGGAAGUGUUCGGGAUAGUUUCGGAUAAAACCGGAGUGCCGGAGGNNNNNNNNNNNNNNNNNNNNNNNNNNNNNNNNNNNNNNNNNNNNNNNNNNNNNNNNNNNNNNNNNNNNNNNNNNNNNNNNNNNNNNNNNNNNNNNNNNNNNNNNNNNNNNNNNNNNNNNNNNNNNNNNNNNNNNNNNNNNNNNNNNNNNNNNNNNNNNNNNNNNNNNNNNNNNNNNNNNNNNNNNNNNNNNNNNNNNNNNNNNNNNNNNNNNNNNNNNNNNNNNNNNNNNNNNNNNNNNNNNNNNNNNNNNNNNNNNNNNNNNNNNNNNNNNNNNNNNNNNNNNNNNNNNNNNNNNNNNNNNNNNNNNNNNNNNNNNNNNNNNNNNNNNNNNNNNNNNNNNNNNNNNNNNNNNNNNNNNNNNNNNNNNNNNNNNNNNNNNNNNNNNNNNNNNNNNNNNNNNNNNNNNNNNNNNNNNNNNNNNNNNNNNNNNNNNNNNNNNNNNNNNNNNNNNNNNNNNNNNNNNUCUCUCCCCUUCCUCCUUCCUUCCCCUCCUUGUUGGACUAGGAAAGGGAGGAACCUACUCCUAGUAGGAGUAGGAUUCCUCCUCCCUUGGGCGCGCCCCUUGUGGCCGGCCGGCCCCCUCCUCCCCUCCUUUAUAUACGGGGGAGGGGGCACCCCAUAGACACACAAGUUGAUCUCUUAGCCGUGUGCGAUGCCCCCCUCCACAGUUUUCCACCUCGGUCAUAUUGUCGUAGUGCUUAGGCGAAGCACUGCGCCGGUAACUUCAUCAUCACCGUCACCACGCCGUGCUGACGAAACUCUCCCUCAGCCUCAGCUGGAUCUAGAGCUCGAGGGACGUCACCGAGCUGAAUGUGUGCAGAUCGCGGAGGUGCCGUGCGUUCGGUACUUGAUCGGUUGGAUCGUGAAGACGUUCGACUACAUCAACCGCGUUACUAAACGCUUCCGCUUUCGGUCUACGAGUGUACGUGGACACACUCUCCCCACUCGUUGCUAUGCUUCUCCUAGAUAGAUCUUGCUUGAUCGUAGGAAUUUUUUUGAAAUACUAUGUUCCCCAACACCGCGGACGCGAGGGAUGAAGCCGUCGCGGCUGCCGCCUUCGCCGCCGCCGCGCAGCAGGAGGUCACCAGCGCCCGCGUCGCGGCGGCAACGAGGGAGGAGUUCUAUAUGCUAGGAUUAAACCCUAGCCAGCACGGCCUCGUCAACGCCGCCGCGGCCAGCACCGGCUCAUCCGCGUUCCCUCGGACUGUGUUGCCCGACUCGCCCCGCGCGUCGGCUUGCAUCCCGAUGCCCGGCUUCCACGUGUACCCGCAGGCCUCCCGCCUCUCCGGGGAGUGCUUUCCCGACGCGAGCGGGUGGCGCCUUCCACGCCCGCGCGCGCGCCCAUCGACCUCAACGCCACACCGGUGGCCGGUGGCUCGUCAUCGGGAGGCGCGAGGAAACGCGCGAGGCAGAUGCCAGCCGACGUGCUACCGGAUGCCCGCAACCUGUUCGAGGGAAUGCCGGCCGCCGGCGACGAGGACAAAUGCAGAACCUCAUCUUCGAGGGCGGUGCGCCGACUGUUGGCUACGAUCCGGACGAGACACAAAGCCAGGACGGCCGCGGAGCAUUCACACCGGCCGCUGGCUAUGAUCAUGAUCAGGCGGCUUUCAUGCGUGAUCAGGUCGGCAUGGACCUGGACGGCUUCCCACUUGACCACGAGUUUCCGGACGACUACGGGCAAGAGGAAGAGGACGAGUGCGACAUCGAAGUGGAGCCUUUGUUCGAGGACGAGCUCGCCAACAAAGCCGCCGGGCCGAAGCCGAAGCACAAGAGCAAGCGGACAAAGGCAUACACGGCGGCCGAGGACAAGCUUCUUUGCGAGUGUUGGUGAGACAUUGGACAAGACCCCAAGACCGGCGCUGAACAAAAGCAUUCAACUUUUUGGAUUCGUGUCCACCGGGAGUUUCAUGAGCACAGGAAGUUUCCGCCUUACCAAAUUGUGAGCACGCGCGGGUGUGUGUCCAUUUCAAAGCGUUGGAGGAUGAUCCAACAAAAGUGCAACAAGUUUUGUGCAACCCUUGAGAGCGUCAAGGCCCGCCCCGUGAGCAGCAUCGGCAUGCAAGACAUGGUAUGCUAGCAAGCCACCCUCUUUUGUGUCAUCUAGUUUAUGCUUGCAUGUUCAUUUGCCUACCAUUUGCCCACAUGCUUGCAUGAAAACGUUUGUACGCAUUUCAAGUUUUGGAGGCAUUCAAGGUCCAACACAAUGGCAAGUGCUUCAACCUCUCCCAUUACUUUAGGGUCAUCAAAGACGAGGAGAAGUUCAAGGCGCAAUAUGCCGCCCUCAAGUCGCGUGGUGGGAAGCAAGCCGUGGAGGAGGUUGGGGACGGCGAGCCGGCACGGCCGCAGGGGAAGACCAACUCCAAGAAGGAGGACAAGCGGGAUGCGGCAUCGAACGCCUUGAUUGCAAGCGUGGAGGGCAUGAUGAACAAGAAGGACUCAAGGGAGGAGGAGCGCCAACGUUUCAAAGAAGAGCAAAUGAACGCGUUCAUGGAGAUCCGAAGGAGGAGGCUUGAGAUGGACGCGGAGAAGCAAUCCAAGAUGCUUGAGAAGGAGGCGGAGAAGCAAGCCAAGAUGCUUGAGAAGGAGGUGGAGAAGCAAGCCAAGAUGCUAGAGAUCGAGGCCGCCAACGCCAAGACCAAGGCGAAAGAAGUGGCUCUCGCGAGCAUGAUGACCGGGGUGAAGAUCAUGAAGGUGGAUCUCAACACCGUGUCGCCAAGAAAGAGGCCGUGGUUCGAGAAGAUGUAAGCCGACAUGCUAAGUUCACCGACGAGUGAUCUCGUGGCUGCGAGCGCCUUCCUUUUUUGUAUGCCGACUUGUGUGCUAGCAUGACUACGGGGCCACGAUGGCGUGGUCAAACUCCAUCGCGCCGACCCAAAUACAAAUCUGGGCGGACGACCGAUUCAAACGGACAAAAAGCGGACAAAUGCACCGUCCAUUUGGAUCGGCCUUUAGAGUUGCUCUUAGGGGUCCGUUAGAAAUGUCCUCAGAAUCCUAUCUAUAUUCUCUCUUCAUACGUCGCACCACGUGACCAUGGUCACCCCUAUAUUCAGCCCUGGCUGCUGCGUGCGUGUGUGUGGUCAACGUUCAACAUUCUUGCCCAUGUGGAUGUAUGGAGUAUGGUAGGUAUUCCUCGACGUCCCAACAUUCCAAGUGUGCGCUCUCGGUUUCCCUCGACAAAGCCCGUGCGUUGUGUACCGUACCAAAACUUGCACACUGAAAACGCGGUCGAGAUUCGAGAAAGCUCCCGUCCGUGUCCUGCUAGGACGAAAUGAUGAGCAACAAACUUUUUUUUUCGAAAACUGUUGAUUUAUUCAUCUUCAAUCAUGCCAGUACAACGAACAUUAAAAAUAAUAAUGGACCGUUCGGAUGAAUGUUGGAGCAGGAAGAGUGGAUCCGCAUCCGGUUUGGAAGGUCCUUUGGGGCAGGACAGUGCCCCCUAAGGUAAAUGUGUUUAACUGGAGAGUGCUACAUGGGAUUGUACCAUGCUAUUGUACGCUGUCAGAUCGGCAUCUAUCUACUCCGGUGAUUUGUCCAGUAUGUGGCAAUGAGCCUGAGGAUCUGCGCCAUAUGAUGUUUACGUGCGAAAGAGCCAAGGCCGUGUGGAAGGAGCUGGGGCUGGAAACAUCGAUCGCGAAUGCAGCAGCCCAUGAGCGGUCAGGUUCGGUAAUCCUGGAGAAACUUCUUUGCUCUGAGCUACCAGGAGAGGUAAAACUACCAAUUGAUAAUGGUGUGGAAACAGUUAUGGUGACUGGAUGGUAUUUAUGGUGGGAUCGCCGGAAGAUCAGUCACCAGGAGAAUGUUGGUAGCCCCUUUCGUUCAGCUACGAGCAUUCAUGGUAUCGUGGCAAACUCACUGGCUGCCAAGGCAAAGGAACCUACGAAACAGAUUAGAUGGGUGAGACCAGCUAAAGAGGUGAUUAAACUCAAUGUUGACGCGAGCUACCAUGUGGAUGAGGGCGCGGGAGCAACUGGAGCUGUCUUACGAGAUAGCUCAGGAGCGUUUAUUGCUGCUUCUUGUUCCUUUCGACAGUUUGCCAUGGAUGUUCCCUCUAUGGAAGCGUUAGCACUUUUGGAAGGACUGCGAUUGGCAGAGCAUUUGGGUAUUUAUGCACUGGUUGUGGAGUCCGACUCACAGAAGAUAGUACAAGCUAUGAAGGAUCCUUCGGAGUACCGUGUUUCGGCUGCGGUGUUGACGGAUGAUUGCCGACAGGUGUUGAAUUCCUUCGGCAGGACGACGAUUGUUCACUGUGCUAGGGAGAGUAAUGGGGUAGCGCAUUGGCUAGCCAGGACUAGUUAUAGAAGGAAGUUAAAUGAGGUCUGGCAAGAGCAUCCCCCUGAUUUCUUAAUUCCCUCCCUUGUAACUGAUAUGAUUAUUAUGUAAUAAAGGUCGCCGAAGUUCAAAAAAAAUUAGAAAUAAUAAAAAUUACAUUCAGAUUCAUAGACCACCAAGCGAUGACUACAAGCACUGAAACGAGCCGAAGGCGGCCCGCCGUCAUCGCCCCUCACUCGCCGGAGCCGGGCACAAUUUGUUAUAGUUAACAGUUGAAAAGUCGUCGUGCUAAGAUCUCAUAGGACCAACACCCAAGAACAGCAACCGCCAUCGAUGAAGAGAAUUUUAGGUCAGAAAGAUCCAACCUGAAGACACAUGAAUAAAGACCGGAUCCGAGCAGAUCCACCAAAGACAACCACCUAUCAAAUCUCGCGAGAUCCGCCGGAAACACACCUCCACACGCCCUCCAGUGAUGCUAGACACAUCAUUGGGACGGGGGCUAGGCGGAGAACCUUAUUCCAUCUUCAAAAACCGCCGCCGUCUCCUCUUCUUGAGCAGGACACAGACCCUAAUAAAACUUGAAAAAGCACCUAAAAACGGAGCCCUCCCGCCGGCAAGGGCCAGGAUCCACCGCGCACCCAUGACCCUAAGGCCGCAGAAGACGUGGAAGAUCGGCGGCGCCGCCAACAAGCAACAAACUUGUAAGGUGAGCGUCAGGAAACUGUCUUGUCGAUUUUAUUGUGAGAAAUGAAAUCGCAUGGGAGAAAGGAGCAGCAGAGCAUGGAUGCAGCUACAGUGACUUCAUGAAGUCAAGUCUCACUGUAACUUAGCCCCCCUACAGCCAUCCAUUAAAGAUCCUACGAACCGAAUCGAUCCAUAUUUCGAAUGAUUUUUUUUAAAUAGUAAAUGUUUGAUUUAGUAUUCUCAGGAACAUGCAACGGCAAAUUUGACAAAAUUGACCUGUGGACGAAAUCAAAUCACGGAAUGAACUGUCCGUGAAACUAUUUCACGCGGUUGACCUUUUUGUGUGACGCCCGACACGAAGGCGUCACACUACACUAUGCAACGCCUCACAGAUAGGCGCUACACGCCUGGCCAGCGUUGCACCCCAGACUGCCUAAAAAUUGCUAAGUCAUUGUGCAGAGCCUAAGAGCUAGGCGCUGCACUGUAUAGUGUGACGCCUAGCUCUCAGACGCUGCACUAGUGGUUGCACUACAAAAUGAAGCAACCACUAGUGCAACGCCUAGAAGUUAGGCGCUACACUGUAUAGUAUGGCGCCUAGCUCUCAGGCGCUGCACACUGACUUAGUAAUUUUCGGAUCACACGGGUGCGACGCUGGCCAGACGUGUAGCGCCUAGUGUAGUGUGGCGCCUUCGUGUAGGGCGUCACACAAAAAGGUCAACCGCGUGAAAUAGUUUCACGGGCGUUCGUAGGUCAAAUUUGUCAAUUUUGCCACCUGCAACGACGACGUGACGACGCUUCGGCCCAGCCGCCCAGGGAAAGGACCUGAGCGCCGACGAGCGACCGACCGACGUCUAAUCCUGGGUGCAAACUUUGGGCGCUUUCGACGUCGGACAGUUGCAUCGGCGCAUCACACCACCACGGAAUUCUGAUCCCGGGAGGGUGCGCUCGUGUCGCAUCGCAUCGCAAGCAAGACGGGAUUCCCUGCCCGCCUCGACGGGAACGUCUCCGCCCUUUUGCCCCCGUGCUGACCUGGGUGCAUGAGGCUUUAUAUCUUUCGGAAUGUCCAAAGCAUCCGCCAUGUUAGCUGCAAAUCGGUGCCGAAAGCUCACGCCGUGCCGACAGUGGUGGCGCCAUCGCCCAUCGCCGUAUCGCCUUCCGGCCCCGCUCCGGACCCCCGGUGCGCGUCCACCCCCAACAGCAGCCACGUCCGUGCGGCGGUUGGCGUUCAAAGCAGGGGAGAUUUUCUCCUGCACACGGCACGGAUGCGACCCAAGCCCAACUAACUCGCUCCAUCUGCCCCAGUUUUUUGGAGGUGUCCGCUUUGAGUUUUCUCCUUGGUUGGUACUGUGCUGCCUGAAAGUUGCUUUACUGUCUAGAAACUUUUGUUGCGUCCAAAAAGUGCUCAAGAAAGUGCAGUGCAGGGCUUUCUAUGUUGCAAAGUACUACUAGUAUUAAUAAACUGCAUCAGGAAGACAUUAGCUGAAAUGCAUCUUCCUGACAGAACAGGGUUAAAAGAAACAGAUGGCGCCGGUAGCACCCAGAGCAGCAAGCUGGUUAAACAGUAUCAGAACACUUCCUAUCCCACUGCUUCCACCAUCCAUUUGUUAAUUACACGAGCUAAAUAAAUUUUACUUGUGAGAAGAACUCAAGGGAGCUAGGUCGCACAGGCUCUUCCUACCCAGUUGUUAAACUUUACAGGAGCAGAAUAAAAUUUACUUGAAGAAAUAAUUAAAGGGACGAUGACAGGUUCUUCAUCCGGCUGCUGUCGAUCUUUGCAGGACCAAGAUAAAAUUUACUUGGGGAGAUAACUCAAGGGACGAUGACAGGUUGUUCAUUCAGCUCUUGUUGAUCUUCACAGGAGCAAGAUAAAAUUUACUUGGGGAGGGGAGAUAACUCUCAAGAGACAGGGAUGGGUUCUUCGGGUUCUACAAUCUUUGCACCACAGGAAUACCUCCUUUUCAUCAUUAUAGCUCUGCUUCUGUACAGUGUUGGACUGGAGAUCUUGACCAUCCUUCUCCUUGGAGUCUUCGAAGCACUCGGUCUUCUCUUAGGCGUCGAGUUUCCAGCAUGCCUGCCGUUCUUCACGGGCGUCCAGUUUCCAGCAUGCCCGCAGUUCUUCACGGGCGUCUUGUCAGAGCACGCUUCGUCUCCACAGAGAUGGCCGAAGUGACCACGAGGAUUCACGUAACAGUAUGAUGAGCUGACAAUCCCUACGACCGUUGACGGGCGCACUGUUUGCAUAAAAUCCUCUAACUCUGUGAAACAAGCAUGGUCGGUGUAUGGCAGAGUGUAGGAAUCCUUCUCAAAUAGCUUUGGUGGUGACGAGGGAUCAUAGUUCAUCUCUAUUGUGCCCACUGCGCCCCGCCCUCGCCCUUUGCAUCUGGUAGACUUUGCUGGUCCUUUGCCACUCAACUUGCUCUUUCCCUCGCUGUUUCUCCAUAGCCAAGUGUUGCCUGAAGGCAUGAUUCCUAUAGUUGGACAUACUGUGUUCAAAGCUUCAAGACUCUCGAUGCUCAGGCCGUAUCUUGGAACAGCCCGGACCCUCGUCAAGCUGGUCUGGGUGGUGAAGAUCUCUCGAUUGUCAUCAAUGCCUAGAAGGUGCAUUGUCAGUAGGCGCUGGGGCCAGACCCAAAUCUGACAAGGAAAGUGAGAAAAGAAUAUUUUAGCCUUCAGAAGAUCAGUGUGUAGUGUAUAUAAAGCUAAUACAAUAGCAGCGUGUGUAUCAAAGUUCUGACGGCUACACAGAAUUUUAGACUAGAUGACUGAGCAGGGGUGAGAACUUAACACCAAUACUGAAGCAUGUUUAUGUUGAAUAAAAGAAUGGAAAUAGGAAAUUAAGAAACAUAUCAGAUUAUGUCAAGGAAAGGAGGCUUAGCACCUUCGUUUGUAGUGCUCUGGCUAUAUAAAGCAAGAGGUCUUCUUUGCCAAGAGUGUCAAUGCCAAGAAUAACUUCAUGAUCAGGAUGAGCACGAAUAAGGUCAACUAUCUGCACCCAACACUAAGAAAAUAUUAGUAUAGAACAUCCAACAUAGCAUGAUGGACAAUUUAAUGGUCACAUAUACGCAGAAACUUAUGUGUAGGCAACUUACUUACAAGUUGGGAAUGGCAUCUUAUUGCAGGUAAAUUAAUUAGCGCUAGAACUCUAGACUAUAUCAGAGCAUCCACCACAUUAGUAAAAUAGGAUGUGGGGCAGCUAAUGCUGAACAUGAGGAAGUACAACAGCUGUCCAACCAAAUCCAUGCCCGGUUAGUCUCUGGCCCCUUCAAGAUGCAGCUAUAGAAAACAAUAUGCCACUGGUUUUCACCUUUGACAGACACUUGGCUUGAGUGGCAUCAACAGGCUAUACCAAAUUUCUUACUGAAAUUCUACGAGCUCCAUGUGAAAUGCCAAAAGUAUUGAUGUAUAAGUAGCAUACUGUGUAUAUGAACUAGGUUGUAACUGACAGUCGCAAUUGACACCAAAGGAUGGACACCGAAAAUUGCAUAUAAAAGUGCAUCUGCCCAUUCUGGAGACUUCGCUGCUAGAAUGGGGUCAGGCCUCCAAGGCAUUCUAAGAAUUGUUUUCCUUAGGGAUCCACAACACAACGUAUAAUCUUCCUAGUAAUUUAAAUCGUCACAGAAGGUAAGUGCACUUCUCUGAAGAAAAUUUCAGACUAGCAUGGACUACGGUUGGCUGAAGUGACAACGUUGCAUACACGGGGCAGGAAUUGGCACAGUGGACCGAAGCAAAUCUGACCUGCUGAGCGACGACGCGGCGCGGGGGGAAGUUGAGCGACGGGUGGCAGUAGGUGUUGUCCAAGUAGAGCACGUCGACGGUGUCCCCGGCGAGCGCGUCGAGGAGCGCCUUCUUCGCGGUCCGCGCCUUGUCGCACCCCAACUCCCACCGGAAAUCCCCGGUGUAGAGCCUGCACCCGAGGUCGCCGCGGAAGAGGAACAUGAGCGAGCCUGCACACACGGCGCGCGGCCACGGAUCGAUCAGCGGGCUUACCGAGCGGCGGCGAGCGCAUUAGGAUUGAGGAGGGUUUGGGGAGGGGAGGCGUACCGGGGCAGUGGAUGGCGGGGAGGGCGGUGACGUGGAGGGAGACGGUGCGCCCGGAGAUCGGGGAGGUGAGGGUGAGCGAGGCGGAUGCUCCGGCGGCGAUGGGGCGGAGGAGGGAGGCGUCGACCCCCGGGAAGCGGGUGGGGAGGAGGCGCGCCGUUACGGGGGAGCAGUAGAGCGGGCCGUGGCGCCAGCCGCACGCCGCGCCGAGGCCCCGGGUGUGGUCCUGGUGGAGGUGCGUGAGGAAGUAGGCCUGGCUGCCGCCACUGAACUUGUCCACGGACACCAGCCCCUCGUCCAUGGCCGCCGCUGAACUUGCCGCCAGUGCGCCGCCGCCUCCCCCUCCGCGGAUUUUUGGGGGGUGUUUUCGCCUUUGUGAGGAAGAGGGAAGGGGAGGGACGAGGCGAAGAGGCGCGCCAAAAUGAAAACGCUAACCGCGCGCGGUAAUCGUCGCAAAGAAGCAUGUCAACAUUUUCGAAACCACCAUCGGACAGGUUCCAGAUUUUAUAUUAGUCAUUUUUCAAUUUCAUCAACAAUAAACGUUAGUAUUCACUUGUGUAAUAUUGUACUAGGAUAUUAGAUUUUUUUUAGGGAGGGAUGUUGGUAUUAGAUUAGUCAUUUUUUCUCUUCCUUUUUCCUCCGUGUCUACUCCUUGCGCUCGAUCAUUUCACAACGUAAACGCUAAGUCCUUUUACAAUAAGAUGCUUAGAAAAAUAAAUCAGUUUUUAAGUAUUGAUAAUUGAUACUUAUUUGUAGAGGAUACCCCCUCCUAUAGAAAUGAAAGAAAUCCUUAUUUAACACUAUAUUAAAUUUUGUUUCCUUAUUUGACACUGAAAACAUUUUUUCCCUAAGUAACACUGCUUCUAAAUUUUAUGCCCUUUAUAACACUUCCGUUCAUUUUUCAUUCGAACGGUGUUAAAUUACAUGUAAAAAGACAUUUUUACCCUCGGGUGCAUGGUGCCUGUACUUCCAUAAUACUUUCUUGAGGACGUUCCUGGCCGAUGCUAUUGACCACAACAACACGCGUAGAUAGACAAAAACUCUCUUGGUGACAUGAUCAAUUAGCACGCCGGGCUGGACAUACAAACGAUGCUUACGUAGGAAGCUGGCUUCGUGUUUGCCAAGCGGCUUGAUCGAUUCUAGCUGAACUAGUUAGCACUUGAAGCUAUGCUUUCACUACACACGUACACGUCGGGAUGCAGAUAAAUUGAUGGCGGCUCGUGCAUCAACAGCUACGGUGGAGCUCGUCGUGGUAGCGGCUCUCGUGUGGCCCGUGGCGUGGUGCGCAGCAGGCGACCGCCGGAGCGGUGGCACGGUCGGGCGCGCGGGGCCGGCUACGGCGGCUGGCUGCUCUACACGACGGCCAACGGAGCGAUGGCGCGGCACGGUGACAGGGCACGACCUGGUGGUAGCAACGCAGGCUGUUUCACCAUUCCAAUACCGUUUGUCGGAGGAGGAUCCAGUUCCACAUGCCACCUGAGGGGUUUGACAAUGAAAACGUGUCUUUUUUGCUUUUCAAUAUUAGCAUCUACUCCCUCUGUUUUCAAAUAUAAUUCUUUUAAAGAUUUCAAUACAAACUACAUACGGAUGUAUAUAAACAUAUUUUAAAGUGUAGAUUCACUCAUUUUGUUCCGUAUGUAGGUCUAUAUUAAAAUCUCUAAAAAAACUUAUAUUCAUGAACGGAGGGAGUAUCAAAUCUGUCACAUGCCACACAAGGGGUAAAAGGGUCUUUUUAGGUGACAUUUAACAUCGUUAAAGCUUAAAAUGGACGGAAGUGUUAUAAAGGACAUAAAAUCUAGACUUAGGGUUAGAUAAGGAAGAAAAAUAUUUUCAAUGUCAAAUAGGGAAAGAAAAUUUAAGACAGUGUUAAAUAAGGAAUUCUUUCAUAGAAAUAAGCAUCGGUGCUUAAGAAAAACUCAAUUUAUUCUUUAAGAAACAUCUAGCAUUAUACAAAGCCUAACAACAUGUAGCAUGCGGUAAAUGCCAGAAAGAAGCAUACCAACAUUGCAUUUAUUUGGACACAAACAUGUACAUACAGAAAUCUAGACAGCACAUGUAAACAUGCACCCGUUACCCAAGUAAGUAUCCAAAGCAGAAAAGUAGGGAAGAAUACAACAGGUACACAUACAUGGGGAAGCCUGGCCUUACAAAACAAGAGAGGUUCAUAAAAAUACAGCUCAUGCACACAGUAAAUAGUUCAAUCUACUUGCAGUCGACAACAUAAAACAUCACACGACACAAACCAACAAAGACCCCCGCCACUUGAGAGCCCGGCCCUAAAGCCUGCCGGCAAAGCAAGUCCAUGAUAUGC